rnacentral:tRNA from 1 species
GCCCUGGCUCAGGGGUUAGAGAGCGUCCGUGUGGCACGCAGAAGGUCCCAAGUUGAAUCCCUGGAAUCUCCG